rnacentral:rRNA from 1 species
UACGUAGGUGACAAGCGUUGUCCGGAUUUACUGGGCGUAAAGAGCGCGCAGGCGGUCGAUCAAGUCGAGUGUGAAAGCCCCCGGCUCAACUGGGGAGGGUCAUUCGAUACUGAUCGACUCGAAGGCAGGAGAGGGUAGUGGAAUUCCCGGUGUAGUGGUGAAAUGCGUAGAUAUCUGGAGGAACACCGGUGGCGAAGGCGGCAUCCUGGACCGGCAUUGACGCUGAGGCGCGAAAGCCAGGGGAGCAAACGGG